GGUCUCUGGCGGGGGGGGAGGGCGACUGCCAGCAUGACAAUAUCCUUAGAUUGGUUUGUGCCAAAGUGCGCCAGGAACGCUGCUUGGGGAUGGCACAAACUGGUUCAGAGCAGACAUGACAAGGCAGCCGAGAGCCGCGCCAUCGUGCCACCAGGCAGGCAGUGUAUCAGCAUCGCCAGUUAACCCGGCUAAAUGGCCGGGACCGAGGCGCAUGCAUUGGCAUUGGCAAACAGGAUCAACAGGAAUUUGCAUUUUAUGGCGUCUGCGAAUGCAUUACCCCCACAGCUCGAUCCGACCAUCUCCAGGGACUGCGCCUGACCCUGUAAUUGUUUAAAUUAAGUUUUGUCCAAAACUGCAAAAUGCAAUUAAAGUCUCGCGAGAAGCC
rnacentral:lncRNA from 1 species